ACUGGCAGAAAUGUAGAUCGGCUCCUAUGGUUCCUGUUCUGUUUUGCCAACUUUCAUUGGUUUAUGAUUUUAUUUUUAAUGUACUUUUUAUGAAUAUUUUUAGUAAUGAUUUUAUAUUUUUAUUCUCGAGUUCUUGUAAUGUUCUAUUCAGCCCUUUGAAUUGCCUUGUUUACGACUUGCGCGCUGGAAAUAAACUUGCCUUGCCUUUAUUUUGAAAUACCUCCGCAUCCGCUAAAUGUCUACUUUACUUCCGGUUUCCUCAUCAUUUACCUCACUUGACGGUCAUUAUAGCUACGUGACGCUUCGUAUGUUUUACAUCAAUGGACUCCCUACAGGCCCAUCCAGAGAAGAAAAGGCUGCCAUGGGAUCGCUUCAGAAAUUGGUCUGCGCUCACCACAAAUUAGCUCUGCUGCACCCUCUACGAUGUUAACUGGUGAACAACCUGAAAUACUGAAGCCUUGUUGGAUGCUCCUGCUUCAGACUGACUGAUUAAACAAGAGCUGCAGUUCUAUGUAUAGAACCGCUUAAUCAAGUUUCUAAAUGAUAGUUAUGGAUGCUCUUCUGGACUAAAGUUCCUGCCGCUGAAAAACAUCCCCACAGCAUGAUGCUGCCACCACCUUGCUUCACUGUGGGGAUGGCAUUGGCCUGGUGAUGAGUGGUGCCUGGUUUCCUCCAAACAUGACGCCUGGAAUUCACACCAAAGACUUCAAUCAUACUCUCAUCACUCCAGAUAAGUUUGUUUCUCAUGGUCUGAGAGUCUUUCAGGCGGAUUUUGGAAAACUUUCUACGAAGAAAUGGCUUCCAACUGGCAACUCUGCCAUACAGGCCUGACUGGUGGAUUGCUGCAGAGAUGGUUGUUCUUCUGGAAUGUUCUCCUCUCUCCAUAGAGGAAUGUAUCAGCUCUGACAGAGUGACCAUCGGGUUCUUGGUCACCUCCCUGACUAGACCAAGAUGAAUGCAGCAAUGUACAGAGACAUCCUGGAUGAAAACCAAGGUUUCCCAUGCAACUAGAUGGAUUUUCAGAGGUGCCGCACAGAGGAAUGGGCGAAACUGCCCAAAGAUAGGUGUGCCAAGCUUGUGGCAUCGCAUUCAAAAAGGUU